rnacentral:rRNA from 1 species
GCACAAGCGGCGGAGCAUGCGGAUUAAUUCGAUGCAACGCGAAGAACCUUACCAAGGCUUGACAUACACCGGUAACGCCCAGAGAUGGGUGCCCCUUUGUGGUCGGUGGACAGGUGGUGCAUGGUUGUCGUCAGCUCGUGUCGUGAGAUGUUGGGUUAAGUCCCGCAACGAGCGCAACCCUCGUCCUAUGUUGCCAGCGGGUCACGCCGGGGACUCAUGGGAGACUGCCGGGGUCAACUCGGAGGAAGGUGGGGAUGACGUCAAAUCAUCAUGCCCCUUAUGUUCUGGGCUACACACGUGCUACAAUGGCCGGUACAGACGGACGCAAAGCCGCGAGGUGGAGCAAAUCCUAAAAAGCCGGUCUCAGUUCGGAUUGCAGGCUGCAAUUCGCCUGCAUGAAGUCGGAAUCGCUAGUAAUCGCAGGUCAGCAUACUGCGGUGAAUACGUUCCCGGGCCUU